CCGUCUUUGCCCCAAAAGGCUCUUAGCUGAAUGGGCACCAGGGUGAAUCAAGCCUCAACAGGUCAGGUACCAGAAAUAGUUGUAUGCAAGACUGUCAUGAGAUAUUGACAGUACAUACUAGCCACCAGUGCAGCAGCAGCAGCACACAAUAAUCUAGUCAGGAGAAACUUUUAUCCACAUUUCCAGGUGUAAAGAAGAAUAAUUAUGGUAAUCUUGGUGUACACUCAAGAACACCAAUAAACCUGCAUCUGUGUACUCAAUCUCCCCCUUGAAGAUGGCCAACAACAGAAAAAACUACAGGGGCCAUACACUGCUACAAUACCUUGGCCUUACUGGCUCAACACUUCACCUGGGAGUGGAACACUUUUCCCCCUUCUUUCCAACUCUUGCAUACAAAGAGGGGUCAAAAACUAAAACUACAACAUAAUUUCCACCAUUCCUCACAACGAAUGGCUUCAAUACAGCACUCUGAACCAUCCAAAAACUGCCCAACAUUACCUUGAAAAGAGUGAAAGCUAA
rnacentral:lncRNA from 1 species